rnacentral:rRNA from 1 species
GCCCUACGGGAGGCUGCAGUGGGGAAUAUUGGACAAUGGGCGCAAGCCUGAUCCAGCAAUGCCGCGUGGGUGAAGAAGGCCUUCGGGUUGUAAAGCCCUUUUGUACGGGAAGAAAUCAUCCGGGUUAAUACCCUGGGUGGAUGACGGUACCGUAAGAAUAAGCACCGGCUAACUUCGUGCCAGCAGCCGCGGUAAUACGAAGGGUGCAAGCGUUAAUCGGAAUUACUGGGCGUAAAGCGUGCGUAGGUGGUUGUUCAAGUCUGUCGUGAAAGCCCUGGGCUCAACCUGGGAAUGGCGAUGGAAACUGGGCGACUGGAGUGCGGUAGAGGAUGGCGGAAUUCCCGGUGUAGCGGUGAAAUGCGUAGAGAUCGGGAGGAACAUCCGUGGCGAAGGCGGCCAUCUGGACCAGCACUGACACUGAGGCACGAAAGCGUGGGGAGCAAACAGGAUUAGAUACCCCGGUAGUC